AUACUUACCUGGCAGGGGGAAUACCAGGAUCAAGAAGGUGGUUUCCCCAGGGUGAGGCUUUUCCAUUUUUCAUUCCUCCAUAUUCCUUCUGUACUGGUAGCUAGUUAUGGAUACAUGAUUUACCUGCUAUGGGUCACUGGCAGGCUCUUUUCUGCAUGAUAAUUC